UGACAAGAAUUGAACUAUGAAACAAGAAUUGUUGGCUUCAAGAUGACCUCAACUGACUAAGAAUGACAAGAUCUACGCAAUGUGACAGGUCAGAAUUGAGUCUUGAAAACGAUUUCUGAUGAUUAAGAAUGACAUGAUCUACUGAAUGACAACAAUUGUCUGCUUUGAAAAUGACCUCAGCUGAAAUAAUAUUGCAUGCAUUUAACCUUUUUACAUCCCUCUCCAACAUCCUAUUCCAUUCAGUCACAACUGUUACCAUAAUCCCCGUUUCUCUCUUAUAUACAUACAUCACUCAAGUAGCAUGUGCUCAAUCAUAUCGUCACCCCUCUUUCACACCUACAUGAAUGUCACACCUUGGGACUAACACCUUGCCACCAUCUGGAAGAGGAUGUCCUCCCCCUCCCCGGCACAACCACACUGCACUCAACCCUCCCACCACUAUCAUUCCAACCUCCCACUGAUGUGUUAGAUCCCUGAACCCCUACCUACUGUUCUUUACAAUGUGUUUAUAAUGUGUACAUUUUUAGCUUAGCGGCUGGUAAGACCAAAUACACUAUAUUAUUACUAUUAACACACACACACUUGACCAAUAAGCCCAGGCCACAACAGCCAGCCCAGCACAGUCACCAAAAAGAUCAGACCUUUCACAGGACCCACCAACCACAUGAAGCCUGGGGUGGAAAGUGAAUAACAGAUCAUGCCGUCACAGUCACCAUUUGUUCCAACAGAUGAAUAUUUUCUGUUCUCUGUGCUACACACAGCCCUGUAACACCACCACAACAAACACUUGCACUCACACACACAGCAGAACUGAAUCAGCACAGCACCUCAGGAGAAGUGGACCUUCAUGUGCCUGACAAUCUCACUCUUAGUCAUGAAACGUUUCCCACAAACAUCGCACUUGAACCCUUUAUGACCAGAGUGUCUGAAGACGUGCCUGUCCAAUAUACUCUUCAGUUUGAACCUUUUCCCACAAACUUCACACUCAUGACUUCUUGCAUCAGUGUGUGUAACAAGGUGUAAUUUGAGGUUACCCUUCUGACUGAAACAUUUCCCACAAACUUCACACUCAUGAUUUCUUUCACCAGUGUGUGUAAGAGUGUGUAAUUUGAGGGUACCCUUCUGACUGAAACAUUUCCCACAAACUUCACACUCAUGAUUUCUUUCACCAGUGUGUGUAAGGGUGUGUGUGUUGAGGUGACCCUUCUGAUUGAAACAUUUCCCACAAACUUCACACUCAUGGUUUCUUGCACCAGUGUGUGUAAGGGUGUGAUGUUUGGGGCUACUCCUAUUACUAAACCUUUUGCCACACUCCCGACUUUCAUGAGGUCUUACACCAGAGUGUGUGGGUGUAUUUGUUGAGGUCAUCCUUCCCUGCAUGUCUUUUCUCACACUCUUGGCUUUGGUCAGUAAACUUGCUCUCAUUCUCAGAUCUUCUCACACUUCUGAAAUUCAAACUUCCCCCUUUGUGGAUGAAGAGGCCAGCAGUUGUUGUUGGUGGUGGUUGUGUUGGUGGUGUUUUUU